CGUUUUUUCUUCCUGAUCUUGAGAGGGGGAAUAAUAUUUUGUGUGGUCCCCAUAAUUUUUCUUCAUAUAGUGAUACAGAUAGAAAAAGAGACCCUAGAUCAUUAUCAGCCGUUGCUAGUAGAAAAGAAAGAAAAAGGUCGCGAGCUAAAGUCCUAGAGAGCUAAGCCGCCAUUGACAGCAUAACCAAGCUGCCUAAACCUUCCAAAACUCCAUUAAAAGCACCUCUUGAAAACUCUAUUUUUCAUAGCCAUGUGAACCAUUACUAAACAGUCCGUAGCCAUUUGUUAAACCAACACCAUUCCUUCACUCAUAUACCUUUAUAUUUUGGAGGCGUCGCAAGUUUCGUUCGAAUUCUCCGGUCGGUGGUGGUCGUCAGAGGUUACCGGCGAGUUUUCGGUGCUCCGGUCGAAUUCAGUUAGCGGUCUUACAUUGAGCUCUGUUUGUCGGGUUCCAUUUUCGGAAUAGAAGUUGUAGCUGUCUGUGAAUCAAUUGAGCCAGGGGCGGAUGCAGUCAAGGACACCCUCGGCAAAAAAUUACAGUGUAUAUUUAAAGUCAAUUUUAUGUGUUCACGUACAUAUAUUGACUUUUGAACACCCUGAAUAAAUGCAAAAAUUGGUUCAUUUGUUUUUUCGAACACCCUGAUUGAAAAUUCUGGAUCCGCCACUAAAUUGAGCUGCUUUUAAUACAAAAAUCUUGACUCGUGAAAAAGCUGCUAUGGCUAAUCGUUCGCUAGUACAACUUACCGACAAGGAGAAACAUCUUGAAAUUGGAGCUUGUCUUUCAGGAACUAUAUAUAAAGGAGUGUGCAGAGGAAUCUUGACCGGAUUUGGUAUCAAGAAAGAUGUGACUGUGUUCAUAUUUCAAAACAAGAAUGUUGCCAAAGGCUUUGUCCAACAACUUGAAGAUACAAAAAUAAAAGUAAAAGCAAUAGGAAAAGAUUGCUCAUUCCUUGCUUGUGUCCACUUCAUUAAAGCAUUUAUCAAAACAGAAGGAAAAAGGGCAAAAAAAAAAAAAAGGAUAUUAUGGUAUUACUAAACCAUUAUCCAAGUUUGAUGCUAAUGGAUUGAAGAUCUUAUUCAAUCACAAAGGUAAACAUUCCUGGCACGAAGAAUCAGAAACUACUCUUAGGUUGGUUGAGGGCCCAAAAGACCUUUUUAGGGAAGUUGGCAAAGCAAUAUAUGCUUUGAACAAAGCUGGUCUUUUUAGCAAUAAAAUUAUGUUUGGAGACGAUGCUAUUCAUAAUCCUAAUGACAACUAUCCAGGUAUUUGGUUUGAGAGUGACCUAAGACUUAGGCUCUCCAAUUUCAAGUGUUUCAGUGAUGAAGAGCGUUGCAAAAUUGCGAAAAAAAAGAUUGGAUUGACAGGGGCUUGAAAGAAGAUGUUCUUCAAUACACUGAAACACUAUGUUUCAAGUGUUAUUUGAUAUAAACUACUUCAUUUGUAAAGUUUCACAAGAUUGUUGAUAUUUAGGUUUAAUUUUUUACGUCAGAUCUAUUUCUAUAAAACAAUACACAUAAAUAAGUGUAGUUGUCACA